rnacentral:rRNA from 1 species
UACGUAGGGUGCGAGCGUUGUCCGGAAUUAUUGGGCGUAAAGAGCUCGUAGGCGGUUUGUCGCGUCGACUGUGAAAACCCGGGGCUUAACCCUGGGCUUGCAGUGGAUACGGGCAGACUAGAGGCAGGUAGGGGAGAAUGGAAUUCCCGGUGUAGCGGUGAAAUGCGCAGAUAUCGGGAGGAACACCGGUGGCGAAGGCGGUUCUCUGGGCCUGACCUGACGCUGAGGAGCGAAAGCGUGGGGAGCGAACAGG